UACGUAGGGUGCAGGCGUUUAAUCGGAAUUACUGGGCGUAAAGCGUGCGCAGGCGGUUUUGUAAGUCUGUCGUGAAAUCCCCGGGCUUAACCUGGGAAUUGCGCUUGAAACUAGCGGGCUUGAGUGUGGCAGAGAGGGGUGGAAUUCCACGUGUAGCAGGUAGAAAUGACGUAGAGAUCCGGAGGAACACCGGUGGCGAAGGCGGGUCUGCUGGGCCGUAACUGACGCUGAGGAGCGAAAGCAUGGGGAGCGAACAGG
rnacentral:rRNA from 1 species